UCGAGCGGAAAGGCCCCUUCGGGGGUACUCGAGCGGCGAACGGGUGAGUAACACGUGAGCAACCUGCCCCUGACUCUGGGAUAAGCCCGGGAAACUGGGUCUAAUACCGGAUGUGACCAGCCUCCGCAUGGAGUGCUGGUGGAAAGUUUUUCGGUUGGGGAUGGGCUCGCGGCCUAUCAGCUUGUUGGUGGGGUGAUGGCCUACCAAGGCGACGACGGGUAACCGGCCUGAGAGGGCGACCGGUCACACUGGGACUGAGACACGGCCCAGACUCCUACGGGAGGCAGCAGUGGGGAAUAUUGCGCAAUGGGCGGAAGCCUGACGCAGCGACGCCGCGUGAGGGAUGACGGCCUUCGGGUUGUAAACCUCUUUCAGCAGGGACGAAGCUAACGUGACGGUACCUGCAGAAGAAGCGCCGGCUAACUACGUGCCAGCAGCGC
rnacentral:rRNA from 1 species